UCUUGGGGACCCUGAGUGGUCCGGGGUGCAGGCUUCACACCUGUAGCUGUCUAGCAACAGAGUGGUUCAAUUCCCCCUCCUGAGGG